GGGGAUUUAGCUCAGCGGCAUAAGCGCCUGCCUUGCAAGCAGGCAGUCGUGAGUUCGAUUCCCAGUACCGA
rfam:Cavia porcellus supercont2_96 genomic scaffold, whole genome shotgun sequence.